GUGUCAGCCGCCGCGGUAAUACGUAGGGUGCGAGCGUUAAUCGGAAUUACUGGGCGUAAAGCGUGCGCAGGCGGUUCCGCAAGUCAGAUGUGAAAUCCCCGGGCUUAACCUGGGAACUGCGUUUGAAACUACGGAGCUAGAGUACGGCAGAGGGGGGUGGAAUUCCACGUGUAGCAGUGAAAUGCGUAGAUAUGUGGAGGAACACCGAUGGCGAAGGCAGCCCCCUGGGCCGAUACUGACGCUCAGGCACGAAAGCGUGGGGAGCAAACAGGAUUAGAAACCCCUGUAGUCC
rnacentral:rRNA from 1 species